CCUACGGGUGGCAGCAGUGAGGAAUAUUGGUCAAUGGACGAGAGUCUGAACCAGCCAAGUAGCGUGAAGGAUGACUGCCCUAUGGGUUGUAAACUUCUUUUAUAAAGGAAUAAAACGAGGCACGUGUGCCUUUUUGCAUGUACUUUUUGAAUAAGGAUCGGCUAACUCCGUGCCAGCAGCCGCGGUAAUCCGGAGGAUCCGAGCGUUAUCCGGAUUUAUUGGGUUUAAAGGGAGCGUAGAUGGGUUGUUAAGUCAGUUGUGAAAGUUUGGGGCUCAACCGUAAAAUUGCAAUUGAUACUGGCAGUCUUGAGUACAGUUGAGGUAGGCGGAAUUCGUGGUGUAGCGGUGAAAUGCUUAGAUAUCACGAAGAACCCCGAUUGCGAAGGCAGCUUACUAAACUGUGACUGACAUUGAUGCUCGAAAGUGUGGGUAGCAAACAGGAUUAGAUACCCCUGUAGUC
rnacentral:rRNA from 1 species